UUCUGUGGCCAUACCACCCUGAAAUUGCCUGAUCUUGUCUACUCUUAGAAACUAAGCAGGGUUGGAUGGGCAAAGUUGCUGAGA
rnacentral:rRNA from 1 species